AUCGGCCAACGUUCUUCAUCGGUUUGUUCCUUCGUCGGGCGGUUUGUUAUUUCGGCCAGAUCCAGUCACAAAUUUCCAACCACGUUUUUUUAUUUUUCCUUUUUUCGUUCUUUUCAUUUUUUUUUCGUUUUUUUGGAUCUGUAAAUUUUAUGUUUUAGGAAUUUUUUUUAUUUUCAGUUUGUUAUUUUAAGAGUUGUUAUUAGAUCUGUAAAUUUUAUGUUUUAUAAUUUUUUUUUAUUUUCAGUUUAUUAUUUUUAGGGUUCUUUUUUUAGAUCUGUAAUUUUAUGUUGUAGAUUUUUUCGUUCCUCUAUCUUUAUGUUUUAGGAUUUUUUUUUAUUUUCAAUUGUUACAUAUUUGUUUUAGAUCUGUAGUAUUUUGUUGUUUUUUAUUUUUAUUUUUAUCUGUUUUUUUCGUUUUUGUAAUUAUUUCAGGUCUGUUGUUACAUAUUUGUUGUUUUUUUCGUUUUUUUAUUAUUUUAUAUCUGUUUUUUUCGUUUUUUUAUUAUUUUAUAUCUGUUUUUUUCGUUUUUUGUAAUUAUUUCAGAUCUGUUUUUUUCCAGAUGUAAUAUAAGUUAGUCACUUUAUUUUUUUGUUUGUGUUAGAAUCAAUGUUAAGUUUGUAUGAAUUUUUGUUAUUUUUUUUGAAUUUUGUUAUCUAUCGAAUUUAACGGUAAAAUGCAAAAAAAAAAAAAAAAAUUUUUUUGACCUACACCUUGACAUAUUGCUGCGGUUCCUAGUCAAAACCGCAACAAUAUGCUUAUUCUAUAUUAGUAAAAUAGAGUAUAUUGCUGCGGUUUUUUCUUAAAAACCGCAGCAAUAUAUUUAAUACCUAUUGCUGCGCCCUUAAUUGCUGCGCGCCCAAAUCCGCAGCAAUAUGACACUUUUUAACCGCUUCAAAUAGCAUUUAUUCUACUAGUGAUUAGGGAUAUUGGGUUUGGGAGUCUCUUAGAUAUUAGGAUAAAGAAGUUUUGUCCUAAUCUGAAUUUGGAGGUGUUGUUGAAUUACAAUGCAUCUGGAAUGAUGUUUUCAACAAAGAAUGGUAAACUGAUUUUUAAUAAGUUUACCAUUAGUGAUGUUUUGGGUUUACCUGUGUCAGAUAGACCAGUAGAGGUUAUAGAUGAUGACGCCUUUAGAAGGAAAGGUAGUCAGAUAGAGGCUGGAAGUGCCAGGAAGGAUUGGCAUAGGUUUCUUGGUAUUUCUGACCCCAAGAAGCCAUACAUUGGUAGAAAAAAUUGGGAUGAUUUGUUUAAGAAAUAUCAAUCCGGGGAUGAUUUGAAGAAGUUAUUUGUUAUCUUUUCGUUGUCCAAGCUUCUAUGUCCUAUAGCUGAUUUAGGGCCUGUGCUGAAAUGUGCCAAGAGUUUAGAAGAUGCAUCUACAAUUUCAAGUUAUGACUGGUGUGGAUAUAUAAGUCUUUGUGCUGCUGUUUUGGACUGUCAUCAGUCUAUUAUGAUGAAGAAGAAUGAGCUUGGACAGAAGAAAGUAACAUUCAAGCUUCGGGGAUGCGUUAGCGCUUUGACUCUUGCUGUUAUUCACAACUUCAAGUGUCGUAAUCUGGAUUAUUCAAAUGUCAGUAAGCCAUUUAUCACUUAUUGGCAGGAAGAGAAGGAUUUGAGUAGUGUUGUGAAGCAGUUUGAGAUCAACAUGGAUUUUAUUCUGCCGGUGAAGCGUGAAAAACAGAAGGUUGAGUUUAAAGCUCCUAGUGUUAGUGCUGCUAGUAGGAAGUCUGGUUCUCCUAUAAUGAAGGUGGUUGAGGGUCCAUCACCUUCAACUAGGCAGCUUAUUAUGGAUCUUCCUCAUAGUUUGAUGACUGAUGAGGAAAUAGAUGCUCUUGAUGUUCCUGAAUAUGUGAAGAACAUGCACAAGUUGAAGAGGAAUGCGCUUGCAUUCUGUCAAGUGAACUUGGAGAUUGCCCAAAAUAUUCGGGAGGAAGGCGAGAAGCUGUCUCAAGACAGUAUUUCUCUGGAUGACAGUGAAGUAUUUAACCCAGAUUUUCUGAGUCAAAUUGACGACAUAUGCAAGCGUCAUUUGGAAGCGAAAGACAGUGCAAACAAAGUUGAUCCUACAAUUUCACUAUUGGUGAAGCGGCCUGUUGAAUUGGAGUUUGGAAGAAAUAAAGAUGUUCCUGAUUUGGAUUCUGGUGUUCAUGGAGUUGAAGAGAAAGAAGGAAAUGAUGAAAAAGAAGGAGAGGAGGAUGAGAAGAAGAGGAAUGCUGCUGCUGCUGCUGAUGAUGAUGAUGAUGAUGAUGAUGAUGAUGAUGAUGAUGAUGAUGGUGGUGAUGAUAAGGAUCACCAGAAUUAUAAUGAGACAAAGGAUGAUGAUGCUGAUGAUAAUGGUGAUGUUGGUCUUCAAGGAGAUGAAGACAAAGGAGGAGAUAAGGAUGCUGGUGUUCAUGGAGAUGGAGAGGAAGGUGGAAAUAAUGAGAAAGAACCAAAGGAAGAUGAUAAGAAGACUGGCAAUGCUGAUGAUGAUGGUGGUCUUCAAGGAGAUAAAGAGAAAGGAGGAAAUAAAGAGUUGGAUGCAAUUUUAUCAUUUAACGAUUUAACUUAUCUUAUGUGUUUAUUGUUCAUUUUAGGUGUGACUUGUGUUGUUGCUAGCACCUUGAAUUGCUUUGUCUAUACGUGGAUUAAUUAGUUAUGAGUUGAGCUGCUGCGACUAUAUAAUCUGACAGCCAUAGGACAAGUGCCAGAGAUGCAAGCAUCAUAUACAUGGUUACAACCCAACUUCCACCAAAUGCUGUGUUUCUGUCUUCUUGUGUUAAGAAUACAGUUUAGGCUUGAAAGAACUGAAGGGGUAUUCAUGAUUGUUGUUUGGCGAUUGAGAAUGAGUUUGAGAUUCAAAUUGUUGCAAUUGGACAAGUGCACAUACCAGGGUCAACGGAAGUGACUUUCAAUCAUUUCACCUCUUUAUCCCAAGACUAUCGUCGAGUCUCUAUUACCAAAGAUAUUGUGCCAACUGCACCAUUGCCAUGUCCUAAUGAGGAGUGUAGUGUAGUGUGUCAAGCAAAGUGUACCUUUGUUUCUUGGCCUGCUCACUUAAUUUUUCCAAAGACAAAGGUACACUGAUCAUUCAUGUCAAGGCAGCAAAGGUUGUUGUCUCACAAUCACCAGCUUCACAAACAUCAACCACUCAGAAGUAUGACAUUACUGAUAAGGAUCAUGCUAAGGUGACCACUGAUUUGCUGAGGACUUUGAAGAAAGAAGCUAUGGUGAUG